rnacentral:rRNA from 1 species
AGAGAGCGUGACUCGGAGGGAAGGAAGAGGCGGGACUGACGUGCAAAUCGAUCGACUGACUUGGGAAUAGGGGCGAAAGACUAAUCGAACCAUCUAGUAGCUGGUUCCUUCCGAAUCAUAAUUUUCUGUGAUGCAUUUGCUUGUUUGGUGCUUGGGGAUGUUUGAGGCACAUUUGGAACCGCCGAUUUGAGGCCACCUUGCUGGUACCCAAACUGCGUUAUCAUCUUUUGUCUUGGACAUUUCCCCAUGGCUUACGGGCAUUUAUUGGAUCGAUCUGAUUGAAAGGUACGGGCGCAUGCGACACGUGCUUUUCAUUUAGAUCGAGCCAGUUAAUGGUCUCGAACUCCCUCCCCAUGGAAAAGCCGACCAUCUAUCCGACCCGGCUUGAAACACGGACCAAGGAGUUUAUCGUGUGCGCAAGUUUUUGGGUGUUAAAAACCUAACAGCGAAAUGAAAGAAAAUGCUUCUUUAGAGUCUGACGUGGGAUCUUGCAAAAAAGGGCAGCAUGUGCCCAUUCUAUCUGUUUACAGUAGUAUGCAGGAAGAGCGUACGCGGUGAGACCCCGAAGAUGGUGAACUAUUCCUGAGCAGGACGAAGCCAGAGGAAACUCUGGUGGAAGUCCGAAGCGGUUCUGACGUGCAAAUCGAUCGUCUGACUUGGGUAUAGGGGCGAAAGACUAAUCGAACCAUCUAGUAGCUGGUUCCUUCCCGA